rnacentral:rRNA from 1 species
GAGACUCUGUGCGCGUGCAUAUCAAUAAGCGGAGGAAAAGAAACUAACUAGGAUUCCCUUAGUAACGGCGAGUGAAGCGGGAAGAGCUCAAAUUUGAAAUCUUCAAGGUUCUACCUUGACGAAUUGUAGUUUAUAGAAGUGUUUUCUGUUAGUGGAGUGGCAAAAGUUCUUUGGAAUAGGACAUCAUAGAGGGUGAGAAUCCCGUAUUUGGUCAUUCCUCCUAGCGUUGUGAUACACUUUCAACGAGUCGGAUUGUUUGGGAAUGCAGUCCAAAAUGGGUGGUAAAUUUCAUCUAAAGCUAAAUAUUGGCGAGAGACCGAUAGCGAACAAGUACCGUGAGGGAAAGAUGAAAAGAACUUUGAAAAGAGAGUUAAACAGUACGUGAAAUAGUCAAAAGGGAAGCGUUUGACACCAGUGUUGUUUUCUCGAAAAUCAAUUAAAAAUGAUGGGAUUUUGUGUUGUAUUGACUUUAUCAGCUUUCUGCACUUUUUUCCUAUCUUUUUUAAUGCACUUUUCGUUUAACAAGUCAACAUCAAUUUCUUUUGCUGUAAAAGAGUCAUUGGAAGGUGGCUUUCUUUUCGGAGAAAGUGUUUAUAGCCUUUGACUUCUGCAGUCGGAGAGAUUGAGGUCUGCAGCGUAGAUCCUUCGGGGUUAGAUACGUUUGUGCUAAGUUAUAGCUUUUCAUAGACAACUUGUUGACUAUGUUUAGUCUUGUAGCUUACUCGCUGACGCUAUUUUACCUACGCUUAGGAUGUUGAACUCUAUCACACACA